GCGAAGCGACAGGGGCGCUCGGGCAACCGGGCUGAGACGAACCCUUAGAACCUGAACCGGAUAAUGCCGGCGGAGGGAGGCGCGUGAGACGGUCA
rnacentral:ncRNA from 2 species